ACAGGUUAAAACAAAAUUCAUGGAGAGAGCCCCACAAUUUAAACACAGAAUCCAAUGCUUCCAUUUGGGACAGUUUAAAUGCUAACCUGCUUACAGGACAACUUCAAAACAACUGGGGAUUAACACUGUCCCAUUCCCCUCCCCCAGGCUCAUCUGAAUUCUAAGUAUAGAUCCAUGAGGAAAGAUUUCAAAGGCAAUAGCCAUUGCUCCAAAAUAGCCUGGUUAGUAUUUGCAGAGUGGUUCAGUUCUUUUCUCUCCUGUCUGUCAAAAAGAUGCUAUUCCUGUGAUGAAACCAUUACAGUCCUUCAAAGGGUUUACAUGACUUUCAGGCUGCGGCCUCAGUAGCAGCAGGAACUGGAAUUACUCCCAAGUGCAAUAGAAGAAAGUAAAAAACCACUCUUCUGCAAGGCAAUGCUGGUUUGUAAGGACUGGAGCCAAGGAGAAGACUCUACUGUUUUUGAGGCUUCAAGAGAGGAGGUGCCAGUGGCUGUGUAUAUGGAAGAUACAGAGAAGUGUUGGAACACUCCUGAAGGUCAUGAUGUCCUGUCAAGCAGAGAUUUGCAAAUCUCUUCUGCAAGUAUUUGUGGCUAAUUCUAGCAUCUUAAAGCCCUGUAAGCUAAUAUCUUCUAAAAUGCACUGUGAUAUUUGAAAUUCUACUUCCUACAUUACUCAAGGGAAACAAUGCACUUCACUGAUCUGGCUCAGGCUGAAAUUCAGAUUCUAUUAAAAUGAAUUCAUUCUCUA